GCAAUAGUAGCUCAGU
rnacentral:tRNA from 1 species